AGUCUGGCCUGCCCAUUGGGAACUAAAAGGCCGCGGUAUUUUGACCGUGCGAAGGUAGCAUAAUCAUUAGUCUUUUAAUUGAAGGCUUGUAUGAAGGGUUAGACGAGAAAUCAGCUGUCUUUAUUGAAAAGAUGGAAUUUAACUUUUAAGUGAGAGGGCUUAAAUAUUCUAAAGGGACGAUAAGACCCUAUAAAGUUUGAUAUUUAAUUUUUUAAAAAAUAAGAUAAAUAGGUAAAGUUAGUUAGAAAAAAGAUGUUUUGUUGGGGCGACAAGAAUAUAAGUUAUAUAACUGUUUUUAUAUUCAUACAACGAUAAUUGAAUUUAUGAACCUUUGUAAAGGUAAUAGAGUAAAUUACUUUAGGGAUAACAGCGUAAUUUUUUUUGAGAGUUCUUAUCGACAAAAAAGUUUGCGACCUCGAUGUUGAAUUAAAGGUUCUUUGUAAUGUAGCAGUUACAGGAGAAGGUCUGUUCGACCUUUAAAUCUUUACAU
rnacentral:rRNA from 1 species